GCGGUCAUGGUGAAGUGGUUAACACACUGGAUUGUGGCUCCAGCAUUCGAGGGUUCGAGUCCCUUUGGCCGCCCCA
rnacentral:tRNA from 2 species